rnacentral:piRNA from 1 species
UGCUCACACUUUGGGUCCACACUGCCU